rnacentral:rRNA from 1 species
UAGGGAAUCUUCGGCAAUGGACGAAAGUCUGACCGAGCAACGCCGCGUGAGUGAAGAAGGUUUUCGGAUCGUAAAACUCUGUUGUUAGAGCAGAACAAGGACGUUAGUAACUGAACGUCCCCUGACGGUAUCUAACCAGAAAGCCACGGCUAACUACGUGCCAGCAGCCGCGGUAAUACGUAGGUGGCAAGCGUUGUCCGGAUUUAUUGGGCGUAAAGCGAGCGCAGGCGGUUUCUUAAGUCUGAUGUGAAAGCCCCCGGCUCAACCGGGGAGGGUCAUUGGAAACUGGGAGACUUGAGUGCAGAAGAGGAGAGUGGAAUUCCAUGUGUAGCGGUGAAAUGCGUAGAUAUAUGGAGGAACACCAGUGGCGAAGGCGGCUAUCUGGUCUGUAACUGACGCUGAGGCUCGAAAGCGUGGGGAGCAAACAGG